rnacentral:rRNA from 1 species
UAGGGAAUAUUCGAAAUGGACGAAAGUCUGAUCUAGCAACACCGCGUGUGCGAAGAAGGCCUUCGGGUUGUAAAGCACUUUUUGGAAGGAUUAGGAAGGAAUGUAGGGAAAGAAUAAGGAGAGGCUAACUAAGGGAAAGCAGCCGGGGGAAAACGUAGGAGGCAAACGUUAUCCGGAGGGACUGGGCGUAAAGCGCGUGUAGGUGGUUCUGUAAGUAGGGCGUGAAAGCUCCUGGCUCAACUGGGAGAGGCCGUUCUAGACUGCAGAGCUAGAGGAUGGUCGCUGUAUCUAGAAUUACUUUUGUAGCGGUGGAAUGCCCUGAUAUCCGGUGGAACACCAUUGUCGCAAGCGGCCUCCUGGACCAUUCCUGACACUCAUACGCGAAAGCUAGGGUAGCAAACG